UACGGGGGGGGCAAGCGUUGUUCGGAAUUACUGGGCGUAAAGGGCUCGUAGGUGGCCAACUAAGUCAGACGUGAAAUCCCUCAGCUUAACUGGGGAACUGCGUCUGAUACUGGUUGGCUUGAGUGCAGGAGAGGAACGCGGAAUUCCAGGUGUAGCGGUGAAAUGCGUAGAUAUCUGGAGGAACACCGGUGGCGAAGGCGGUUCUCUGGGCCUUACCUGACGCUGAGGAGCGAAAGCGUGGGGAGCGAACAGG
rnacentral:rRNA from 1 species